ACGCGCGGAACCUUACCAGGUCUUGACAUCCCAUUGACCGCUAUGGAGACAUAGCUUUCCCUUCGGGGACAGUGGUGACAGGUGGUGCAUGGUUGUCGUCAGCUCGUGUCGUGAGAUGUUGGGUUAAGUCCCGCAACGAGCGCAACCCUUGAUCUUAGUUGCCAGCAUUAAGUUGGGCACUCUAAGGUGACUGCCGGUGACAAACCGGAGGAAGGUGGGGAUGACGUCAAAUCAUCAUGCCCCUUAUGACCUGGGCUACACACGUGCUACAAUGGAUGGUACAAAGGGCUGCAAGACUGCGAAGUCAAGCCAAUCCCAUAAAACCAUUCUCAGUUCGGAUUGCAGGCUGCAACUCGCCUGCAUGAAGCCGGAAUCGCUAGUAAUCGCGGAUCAGCAUGCCGCGGUGAAUACGUUCCCGGGCCUUGCACACACCGCCCGU
rnacentral:rRNA from 1 species